ensembl:lncRNA
GCCUUUAGGUCUUGGAGGAUCAGUGAAGGCAAGAGAAAGGUUAACCCCAAGGGCUCCUGUUUGAAAAACAAGGAGAAAGUAAAGAAGGACUGGAGAAGUUAAGUCCAUUAUUGUGAACUCUUCAUGUUGGUUUGAGAGGAUCUGGUCUUCUCCAGUCAUGUAUUCGAGGGAGAAGCAGGGAUCUCCAUCUGGCCUGCUGACCGCAGCGUUAUUCACACUUUCCAGACAGCCGUGUGUGACACCUGCUGCUGGAGCUCAGCCUGGCUCCUGCCUCUGGAGGACGACGGUCCGAACUUCUGAUGGGAGAGAACGGAAACCUUCAGAGGAUAGAGAUUUAAGGUCUCUGAUCUCAGAGAAUGGCUCACAGUGCUUGCUUCAUCUAUCACUGCACGUCAGAUGGCGCCUUCUGUGAGAUGGCUUACAGGCUGGGAAUGGGCUGGGGGAACCUGUGCGUCUUGAGGUUUCUUGCGGGGCUCAGGGCAUGCCCCCCAACCUGCCACGCCACCCACACAGCCAGCUCGUACUUCUGGCCCUGAUGAAAGGAGAUUUUGUGAAGAAGGGAGGUUUGAUGUCAGUGAGGGUGAUCUCUGAAACCUAUUGUGAACAGAGCUGACGGACCUUUACCAGAGCUGGGUAGGGGCCCUCCUUGCUGUUCCCAGAAUGAAACGCAGACGCUGAUAAAGAAGACGCUGCCUGGAGUCUGAUACACCUCAAGACAGCUGUCCUGAUGCUUCUGGGACCCAUGAAGACCCAGGAGGUCCAGCCUGUGCCUGCGGCGAGUGACUUGUUUCUCAAGUCCUUUGAAGUAGCCUUGUGAAUCAGGAUGAGCGCCUUGACAACAAGCAAACACGCUAAUUCAGGCGAUGGUGGCGAGAUGCCCUCAUACAGCUUUUGGAGACUGUGCUCACGAAAGAUGAAUGACAACUCUUCCUGGUAUUUCUGGCAGCUGUUUUUUUACCAAACUGUGUCCCAAGAAUUCUGUGGAAUAUACUUUGCUUCCUGUGCAGAUAACCAAAAAUAUCAUUAAAAAAAUCAUUUCCACCUCAUUAGUGGGACCUUCAUUUUAUUGGCAAAGUUUUUCAGAAAGCUUUUAAAAUGUGUUUAAACCAUUUAAAUCUGUCAGUCUAGUCCUGAAUCUGUCAUUCUCUAAUGACAUCUCCAAUUGAGUUAUUUUGAUAGUUAUAUACGGUAUUGCUUAGACGGUUAAUAGCCACAUGUAAAGCCAUAACAC